rnacentral:rRNA from 1 species
CAGCCGCCGCGGGAAUACAGAGGGUGCAAGCGUUAACCGGAAUUACUGGGCGUAAAGCGCGCGUAGGUGGUUUGUUAAGUUGGAUGUGAAAUCCCCGGGCUCAACCUGGGAACUGCAUCCAAAACUGGCAGGCUAGAGUAGGGCAGAGGGUGGUGGAAUUUCCUGUGUAGCGGUGAAAUGCGUAGAUAUAGGAAGGAACACCAGUGGCGAAGGCGACCACCUGGGCUCAUACUGACACUGAGGUGCGAAAGCGUGGGGAGCAAACAGGAUUAGAUACCCCCGUAGUCCCUGUCUCUUAUAC